UUUACUGUACAUACUUUGUGUAAUUAGUAAUUGCCAUUUUGUCAGUUUUAAAAUUUUGUGCUUACAAUAAUAUGUACAAUUAGUACAGUUAGUGCUAUACUUUUGAUAUUGUUACUACACAACAUAAAAACUAUUUUUGGGAAAUUGAUUUAUUUUUUUAAUCAAUACUCAGUUUUACAAUUUACGUUUACGGCAUUAUCUCUAUCAACUGCACCGCGCACAUUGACUUCCGCCUAAUCGCCGUAAUCGGCAAUCGCAUCGCUGACUGCUGCAGUGCUGCUGCUGUCAAGUAUCAAUAUCCACUAUCGUCUUCUAAAAGGCGUUAUAAUUAUUAUUUUUGUUAUUCAUAAAAUUUAUACAUUCCUUCGCUUGUAAUCGAUAUUAAAUCGGUUUUUAUUUAAUAAAUCGUAUAACACGCAAGUGUUACAUCGACAGUUUGCGUUCUAUCUCGAGAAAAUGUCCAACAACGACUGUAGAAUUUACGUGGGAAACCUGCCGCCUGACAUACGCACGAAAGACAUACAAGAUUUAUUCUACAAAUUUGGUAAAGUGUUGUUUGUGGAUUUGAAAAAUCAGAGAGGACCACCAUUUGCCUUUGUCGAAUUCGACGAUCCUAGAGAUGCAGAAGAUGCAGUUCAUGCAAGAGAUGGUUAUGAUUAUGAUGGCUAUAGAUUACGUGUAGAGUUUCCACGCGGUAAUGGUCCACAUAGAAGUGGUGGCAGUAGUAGUGGUGGUGGAGGUUACAAUCGAGGAGGUGCUAGUGGUGGAAGUGGAAGAAGCCGAGGUCCACCAGCGAGGCGUUCUCAGUAUAGAGUACUUGUUACUGGAUUACCAGCAUCAGGAAGUUGGCAAGAUUUAAAAGAUCAUAUGCGUGAAGCUGGAGAUGUGUGUUAUGCCGAUGUAUACAAAGAUGGAUCUGGUGUUGUUGAGUUUUUGCGUUAUGACGAUAUGAAAUAUGCUGUUCGUAAGCUUGAUGACUCAAGAUUCAGGUCUCAUGAGGGUGAAGUAACAUAUAUUCGAGUAAAAGAUGAUUAUGGUGGUGGAAGCAGUCGUCGAAGUCGUGAUUAUAAUAGUCGCAGUCGUAGUCGCUCCGCUAGCUAUUCACCUAGAGAUCGUGGAACACCAACAUAUUCACCAGUUAGAAAAAGUCAUAGUUAUUCAAGAUCUCGUUCCCGUUCGUAAUAUUGAGGAUAACCAAAUGACUGCCCGUUUCAAGUCAUUGGCAAACAAUUUUCCGAUGAUAAAAAUGUAUUGCUUACUAUACUGGACUACAUUCUUGUCCUCUUGUUUGUAAUCAGUGGACAAUAAACAGAAUCCAUUCACUGUGUGACAAUCAAAAACACUACCUAUACGCCAGUGUACACUUCUGAUCAAUACAUCAUAAUUUUAUUGCUCUGCUGUUCUACCGCAGUACCAUCUGACAAGAACACAAGACAUUAUCUUCAGACAACAUUAAUUAUAUUCUUAAAUUUUAUUUUAUUAAUUUUUUUUUUUGUUUUUUAUUACAUUAAAUAAUUUGAAUAAAAAUAUUUUAUAAAAA